UCAAGCUUUAAAGGGCACAUAGUGGAUGCCUUGGUGCUAGAAGGCGAUGAAGGACGUGAUAAGCUGCGAUAAGCGUCGGUGAGCUGCAAACAAGCUCUGACCCGACGAUUUCCGAAUGGGGUAACCUGGUAUCAUUAAUAUGAUAUCGUUGCUUGCUGAAUAAAAUAGGCAAGCAUACGCAAUACCCGGUGAAGUGAAACAUCUCAGUAACCGGAGGAAAAGAAAGAGAAAUCGAUUCCGUGAGUAGCGGCGAGCGAAAACGGAGGAGCCCAAACCGGGGGAUUUAUUCCCCGGGGUUGUAGGACCCCGAUAUGGGACCAGAGACGAUAGGCGAAGCAUUUGGAAAGAUGCGACAUAGAGGGUGAAAUCCCCGUAGCCGAAAUCCUCAAUGGCCCUAGGGAGUUCCUGAGUAGCACGGGACACGUGAAACCCCGUGUGAAUCUGCGCAGACCACUGCGUAAGGCUAAAUACUAACUAGCGACCGAUAGUGAACAAGUACCGUGAGGGAAAGGUGAAAAGUACCCCUGUGAGGGGAGUGAAAUAGAACCUGAAACCAUGUGCCUACAAGGUGUAAGAGCUGGGAUUUAUCCUGGUGAUUGCGUGCCUUUUGCUUAAUGAGUCUACGAGUUAGUGUCUGUGGCAAGCUUAAGUCCUUCUGGGACGCAGGCGUAGCGAAAGCGAGUCCGAAUAGGGCGAUUUAGUUGCAGGCGCUAGACCCGAAGCGGAGGCGACCUACCCAUGGCCAGGUUGAAGCGACAGUAAAAUGUCGUGGAGGACCGAACCGAUGUGUGUUGAAAAACGCUCGGAUGAGCUGUGGGUCGGAGUGAAAGGCUAUUCAAGCCCCGUGAUAGCUGGUUCUCCUCGAAAUGCAUUUAGGUGCAGCGUUGCGUGUUGAUGAGUGGGGGUAGAGCACUGAAAGGGCUAGGGGGCAUACCCGCCUACCAACCCCUAUCAAACUCCGAAUACCAUUCAAUAGAGCGCAGCAGUGAGACAGUGGGGGAUAAGCUUCAUUGUCGAAAGGGAAACAGCCCAGAUCAGCAGCUAAGGUGCCAAAAUCAUGCUAAGUGGAAAGGAGGUGGGGUUUCUUAGACAGUGAGGAUGUUGGCUUAGAAGCAGCCACCAUUUAAAAAAUGCGUAAUAGCUUACUCAUCGAGAGACCCUGCGCCGAAAAUGAUUGGCGAUAAGCAUGAUACCGAAGCUCUGGAUGUCAGAAUCCUGCGGGAAUCUGGCGUGGUAGAGGAGCAUUGUCAUCUGCAUUGAAGCGCGAAGGCGACUGAGCGUGGAGUGAUGACAAGAGAGUAUGUAGACAUGAGUAACGAUAAGCCGGGUGAAAUCCCCGGCCGCCGUAAACCCAAGGUUUCCCGGGCAACGUUUUUCGUCCCGGGGUUAGUCGGGACCUAACCCGAGGCCGAUAGGCGUAGGGGAUGGUAAGCUGAUUAAUAUUUCAGCACCUGCAAAGUGAAGGGGACGCUUUCCGAAUUGCAACCAAGUUAUUGAAUUCUGAGGGGAGGCCUUGUGCCGAACCGUAUUGCAUGAAAGAGAGCCAAGAAAAGCCGACACGAUUAAAAGCAGCCCGUACCGUAAACCGACACAGGUGGGUGGGUAGAGUAUACCAAGGCGCAAGAGUGAAACCUGGUCAAGGAACUCGGCAAAAUAGCUCCGUAACUUCGGGAUAAGGAGUGCCCCUCUUCGGAGGGGCCGCAGUGAAAUGGGUCAACCGACUGUUUAGCAAAAACACAGCAUUGUGCAAAGACGCAAGUCGAAGUAUACGAUGUGACACGUGACCAAUGCCAAAAGAUUACGAUGAGAUGUUAGCCCUUGAGGCGAAGCUUCGAGUCCAAGUCCUGGUGAAUGUCGGCCGUAACUAUAACGGUCCUAAGGUAGCGAAAUUCCUUGUCGGGUAAGUUCCGACCUGCACGAAUCGUGCAACGAGUUGGGCGCUGUCUCGACCAGGAGCUCAGUGAAAUUGUAGUGCCGGUGAAGAUGCCGGCUACCCGCAGAAGGACGGAAAGACCCUAUAGACCUUAACUGUAAGCUGUUACUGGUUAUUCGAUUUUAAUGCUCAGCAUAAGUGGGAGACUUUGAAGGGUGCGUUUAGGCGCAUCCGGAGUCGUCAGUGAGAUACCACCCUUUGACAUUGGAUAAUCUAACCUCGAGCCGUCAUCCGGCCGAGGGACCGUGGCAGCCGGUCAGUUUUACUGGGGCGGUAUCCUCCUAAAGAGUAACGGAGGAGC
rnacentral:rRNA from 1 species